rnacentral:rRNA from 1 species
AACCUGGUUGAUCCUGCCAGUAGUCAUAUGCUUGUCUUAAAGAUUAAUCCAUGCAUGUGUAAGUAUAAGUAUUGUACAGCGAAACUGCGAAUGGCUCAUUACAUCAGUUAUAAUUUAUUUGAUAAUCGAAAGUUACAUGGAUAACCGUGACAAAUUACAGCUAAUACAUGCAGUCAGACCUGGUCCAAGGGUCGUAAUUAUUAGUAUUAAACCAUUUCCGAAAGGAGUGUGAUGAAUCAUAAUAAUCGAACGAAUCGCCUGGUGUGCGAUAAAUCAUUCAAGUUUCUGCCCUAUCAGCUUUGGAUGGUAGUGUAUUGGACUACCAUGGCAGUCACGGGUAACGGAGAAUUAGGGUUCGAUUCCGGAGAGGGAGCCUGAGAAACGGCUACCACAUCUACGGAAGGCAGCAGGAGCGAAAAUUGCCCAAUCCCGACACGGGGAGGCAGUGACGAGAAAUAACAACUCUUGGUUAUUCUAAGAAGUGUAAUGAGGAUAAUUUAAAACCCUUACCGAAAGCAAUUGGAGGGCAAGUCUGGUGCCAGCAGCCGCGGUAAUUCCAGCUCCAAUAGCGUAUAUUAAAGUUGUUGCAGUUAAAAAGCUCGUAGUUGAAGUUCUGGCUGUUCGAUCCUCGAGCUCUGUAGCCGAGGACUCGACAGUCAUCCGCUUGCAAAUAUAUGUUCGCCUUUAACCGGGUGGCUAUAUGAGUAAGCAAUUUACCUUGAGAAAAACAGAGUGUUCCAGGCAGGUUUGUCCGGAAUGCAUUAGCAUGGAAUAAUAGAAUAUGACUGAAGUCGAUUUAUUGGUUUGAGGCUUUAGUAAUGAUUAAUAGGAACAGUCGGGGGCAUUGGUACUUGACAGUCAGAGGUGAAAUUCUAGGAUUUGUCAAAGACUAACAAAUGCGAAAGCAUUUGCCAAGGAUGUUUUCAUUAAUCAAGAACGAAAGUUAGGGGAUCAAAGACGAUCAGAUACCGUCCUAGUCUUAACUAUAAACUAUACCGACUCGGAUUCAGAUGAAUCAUAAAGUUCAUUUGGGAUCGUAGGAGAAAUCAAAGUUUUUGGGUUCUGGGGGAAGUAUGGUCGCAAGGCUGAAACUUAAAGGAAUUGACGGUUUUGCACCACCAUGGAGUGGAGUCUGCGGCUUAAUUUGACUCAACACUGGGAAACUCAUCAGGGCAAGAAGAUUGUAGGAUUGACAGAUUGAGAGUUCUUUCUUGAUUGGUCUAGUGGUGGUGCAUGGCCGUUCUUAGUUGGUGGAGUGAUUUGUCUGGUUAAUUCCGUUAACGAACGAGACCUUAACCUGCUAACUAGUACACAGAUGACAAAUCUGUGAUACUUCUUAGAGGGACUAUGUGAUGUAAUCACAUGGAAGUUUGAGGCAAUAACAGGUCUGUGAUGCCCUUAGAUGUCCUGAGCUGCACGCGUACUACAAUGGUGCUUUCAACGAGCUUUUCCUGAUCCGAAAGGAUUUGGGUAAUCUUUUUAGUGAGCACCGUGCUUGGGAUAGAUCUUUGUAAUUAUGGAUCUUGAACUAGGAAUUCCUAGUAAGCGCGCGUCAUCAGCGCGUGCUGAUUACGUCCCUGCAAAAUGUACACACCGCCC